UUCGCAAUGCCCGAAAGGGUGACGAAGCGACGCCGCGUGGGUGAGGAAGGCCUUCGGGUUGUAAAGCCCUGUCAGGAGUUAAGAAAUGUAGAUUCGCUAAUAUCGGGUCUAUUUGACAAAGGCUCCAAAGGAAGCCACGGCUAACUCUGUGCCAGCAGCCGCGGUAAUACAGAGGUGGCAAGCGUUGUUCGGAAUUAUUGGGCGUAAAGAGCACGUAGGUGGAUUUGUAAGUUAGAUGUGAAAGCCUUCUGUUCAACGGAAGAAUUGCAUCUGAAACUACAAACCUUGAGUGUAGGAGGGGAGAAUGGAACUUCUGGUGGAGCGGUGAAAUGCGUAGAUAUCAGAAGGAACGCCGGCGGCGAAAGCGAUUCUCUGGCCUAUUACUGACACUCAGUGUGCGAAAGCUAGGGGAGCAAACGGGAUUAGAUACCCCGGUAGUCCUAGCCGUAAACGAUGGGCACUAAGUAGAGGGGUUUU
rnacentral:rRNA from 1 species